rnacentral:rRNA from 1 species
UUUAAAAUCUAUUGAAAUUUUGACCUCAAAUCAGGCAGGAAUACCCGCUGAACUUAAGCAUAUCAAUAAGCGGAGGAAAAGAAACCAACAGGGAUUGCCUUAGUAACUGCGAGUGAAGCGGCAAGAGCUCAAAUUUGAAAUCUGGCAUCCGCCCGAAUUGUAAUUUGUAGAAGCAACUUUUGAAUUAGUCCUUGCAUAUGUUCCUUGGAACAGGACAUCAUAGAGGGUGAGAAUCCCGUUCAUGGUGGGGAGUCUAUUUCUUUGUAAAGUGCUUUCGACGAGUCGAGUUGUUUGGGAAUGCAGCUCUAAGUGGGUGGUAAAUUCCAUCUAAAGCUAAAUAUUGGCGAGAGACCGAUAGCGAACAAGUACAGUGAUGGAAAGAUGAAAAGUACUCCGAAAGGAGAGUGAAAUAGGACGUGAAAUUGUUGAAAGGGAAGUGCUUGAGAUCAGUGAUAGAGUUUAGUGAUCAGCUUUCUUUUUAGUUUGUGCACUUGCUAUUCUCUAGGCCAGCAUCAGUUUGGAAGGUAGGAUAAUUGCAUAGGAAUGUGGCUGUUUCGGCAGUGUUAUAGCCUGUGUCGAUACUACUUGCUAGACUGAGGACCGCGCUUUUGCUAGGAUGUUGGCAUAAUGAUCUUAAGCAGCCCGUCUUGAAACACGGACCAAGGAGUCUAACAACUAUGCGAGUGUUUGGGUGUUAAACCCG